UUCUUUGUUUCUUCUCUCUUUUCUUCUUCUUUUCUUUGUUUCCAAAAACUUCUUUCUCCUUCUCUUUGUUCUUUCUUUUCCAACGAUCACUCUCAGACAGACAGGUA
rnacentral:ribozyme from 13 species